UUCCCAUCUUUCCUACCUUCCUUCCUUUACUUUUACUUUUUUUUUUUUUUUUUACAUAAAGGGCUUGUAAGGAAAAUCUUUUCCUUUUCGUACCUAUCUUGGAUAAGUGUCAAAAAUGCCAAGAAACGAAAAGAAUAAGAAAUAAAGAGAGUGGCAGCAGAGGUAAGUGUGCAAAGUUUCAACAAGAAAGAGCAACUUUAGCAGCUGUGAUGGAUGUAAAUUGGACCAACUUCUCAGGCUUGACAUAUUUCUUGUAUUGCAGAUCUCUACAAUGUGCCUUGCCGACAUUUCUGAGAGCCUGCAUGUAGGAUGGGACCUUUUAGAUGCUCAUGAGCAAGACUGCUUUUGCCACUACAGAUUUUCUCCUGCACAGAAGGUCUUCAUCUCCUAUGCAAAUUACUCGAAGGGAGUCCCUCCCACCAGUUCUCCUAAGGGUGGGUAGCCAGUAUUGUCACCAUGGGAGUAGCCUCGUCUCAUCUCCUACCAAACCUUUUCACUUCAUGUCACUGGUGAUUGACGUUAUGCAGAAUAACUACACAGAGGUCGGGCAGGCACACAGGUGAAACUAACGAAGAUCCCAGGCUAUCAAAGAAUCUGAUUCAGACACUACUAAGAUGAGCAAAUAUGUGAUGGAGAGGUGGGAAAGAUAGGAAAAUGGAGUGGUGCAUAUACCAUGGAGAGAGGUGGAAAUGGAGAAACCAUGGCAGAGACAGGCUGAGGUUGACAGUGGAUCCAUGGUGAAUACCACCGCCUGAAGCCAUGUUGAUGCCCAUAGGCCAUGCUGCUGCUGGGGACCAUACUGAUGUGAGUGGCCUGAGGCCAUGGUGAUAUCUUUGGUCCAGAAAGCUUCCAAGGGCCUUGUCUGGGCCUUUGGUCCUAUUGCA